rnacentral:rRNA from 1 species
CUAGUAUAAGCAAUCUAUACGGUGAAACUGCGAAUGGCUCAUUAAAUCAGUUAUCGUUUAUUUGAUAGUACCUUACUACUUGGAUAACCGUGGUAAUUCUAGAGCUAAUACAUGCUAAAAACCCCGACUUCGGAAGGGGUGUAUUUAUUAGAUAAAAAACCAAUGCCCUUCGGGGCUCCUUGGUGAUUCAUAAUAACUUAACGAAUCGCAUGGCCUUGUGCCGGCGAUGGUUCAUUCAAAUUUCUGCCCUAUCAACUUUCAAUCGUAUGGUCUUGGCUUACGAUGGUUUCAACGGGUAACGGGGAAUUAGGGUUCUAUUCCGGAGAGGGAGCCUGAGAAACGGCUACCACAUCCAAGGAAGGCAGCAGGCGCGCAAAUUACCCAAUCCCGACACGGGGAGGUAGUGACAAUAAAUACUGAUACAGGGCUCUUUUGGGUCUUGUAAUUGGAAUGAGUACAAUUUAAAUCCCUUAACGAGGAACAAUUGGAGGGCAAGUCUGGUGCCAGCAGCCGCGGUAAUUCCAGCUCCAAUAGCGUAUAUUAAAGUUGUUGCAGUUAAAAAGCUCGUAGUUGAACCUUGGGCCUGGUUGGUCGGUCCGCCUCACCGCGUGCACUGAUCCGACCGGGCCUUUCCUUCUGGGGAGCCGCAUGCCCUUCACUGGGUGUGUCGGGGAACCAGGACUUUUACUUUGAAAAAAUUAGAGUGUUCAAAGCAGGCCUAUGCUCGAAUACAUUAGCAUGGAAUAAUAGAAUAGGACGUGUGGUUCUAUUUUGUUGGUUUCUAGGACCGCCGUAAUGAUUAAUAGGGAUAGUCGGGGGCAUCAGUAUUCAAUUGUCAGAGGUGAAAUUCUUGGAUUUAUUGAAGACUAACUACUGCGAAAGCAUUUGCCAAGGAUGUUUUCAUUAAUCAGUGAACGAAAGUUAGGGGAUCGAAGACGAUCAGAUACCGUCGUAGUCUUAACCAUAAACUAUGCCGACUA